rnacentral:lncRNA from 13 species
UGACACUAUGGUUAGUCAGUGUCCGAAUAGAGUUGGAUCGUUGUACACCUAAUUGGUGUCAUGGGAAUCAGAGAUAGUCCUCCAGGUUUUAAGUAUAAUCCUCUCUAGAAGACAAAUGAUCUGGGGACACAUCUUAGUAGCAGAUGCCGGACUGAGUAUGACCAUUCCCCUCAAUGUUACAGGUGGUGAUACUGGGUCGUGGGCCCCCAACUCCUCCCUUGAAGCGUAUCAGGACCACCAUGUUGCCCACCUCCUCAGGUGGUUCUUUCCCUGGCCUCGGUGGCUUCCCCGUGCAUGGAUCAGUAUGCUGAAGAAUUGGUGAGCCUUAACCCAAUGUGACUUAUAAGAAGAGAAAAUUUGGGCACAGACAUCGGCACAUAAACAGGAAAAAGACCAUGUGAAGACACAGGGAGAAGGCUAUCUACAGGCCAAGGAGAGGGGGCUCAGAAGACACCAACCCUGCCGACACCUUGAUCUUGGACUUCAAGCCUCUAUAUUUGUGAGAAAAUAAAUGUCUGCUGUUUAAGUCA